rnacentral:rRNA from 1 species
CUACGGAGGGUGCAAGCGUUAUUCGGAAUCACUGGGCGUAAAGGACGCGUAGGCGGGUUGGCAAGUCAGAUGUGAAAUCCUACAGCUUAACUGUAGAACUGCAUUUGAAACUGCUAACCUAGAGUAUGGGAGGGGGAGAUGGAAUUAGUGGUGUAGGGGUAAAAUCCGUAGGUAUCACUAGGAAUACCGAAAGCGAAGGCGAUCUCCUGGAACAUAACUGACGCUAAGGCGUGAAAGCGUGGGGGGCAAACAGGAUUAGAAACCCUAGUAGUCC